UGUGAAUAUUAAACAGGACAGUGGUGCUGAGCAUGGCUAAAGCAUCUCUGCAUUCACAGGGAGAGGAGUGGAAGACCUUCUGGUGUGGGCUGGGCAGCAAUUCACUUGAAGGAGAAACAGCCCGGGUGUGGAGAGGCGGCCAUCCUUGGCGGGAUCCUUUCUAAGGAGCCGAGAAAUCAACGUAGAGCUUCCUCUAUCUGAUUCUCUAACAACUGCAGACCUUCCAUGAGUCAAGCUUUGUGUCAAAAGGACAAAUUAAAAGGACCUAUAAAUGGCACCACCCAGCCCAAUGGACAGAUGCCCCAGGCUGCAGAUUCUGUCAGUGCUGUUCUCGAAGAGGCCCAGGCACAUGCUGAAACAUGGAAGGAUAAGAAGCCAGCCCUCGGGAACCACCAGGAGCCAGGAGCACCCCC
rnacentral:lncRNA from 1 species